rnacentral:rRNA from 1 species
GACGAACGCUGGCGGCAUGCCUAAUACAUGCAAGUCGAACGCUGAAGCACUCUGCUUGCAGAGUGCGGAUGAGUGGCGAACGGGUGAGUAACACGUGGGAAAUCUACCUAAAAGUGGGGGAUAACAUUCGGAAACGGAUGCUAAUACCGCAUAUCUUCAAGAACCGCAUGGUUCCUGAACGAAAGACGGCUUCGGCUGUCGCUCUUAGAUGAUCCCGCGGCGUAUUAGUUAGUUGGUGGGGUAAAGGCCUACCAAGACAAUGAUACGUAGCCGACCUGAGAGGGUGAUCGGCCACACUGGGACUGAGACGGCCCAG